UCUGCCCAGCACAUACUCGGCCCUCACAUAAAUCAGUGGGAGCUGCAGCCUAUUUGGAGCAAACCACAAUAACACUCACCAGACCCACCCCUAUCCUGGUUUGCCAGUAUGUGU